rnacentral:lncRNA from 1 species
AAGAAAACACAAUACUAAAAAAAUUACACUACUUAACAGCAGAAAUGAGAACAGUAGAAUAUUCAUAGUACGAAGUAUUAAUAGUACAAAACGACGGUGCGAACAGGAAUAUAAUGCAAAACAUAAAAGGAUAGGG